AACGAACGCUGGCGGCAGGCUUAACACAUGCAAGUCGAACGGGCCCUUCGGGGUCAGUGGCAGACGGGUGAGUAACGCGUGGGAACGUGCCCUUCAGUUUGGGAUAACCCAGGGAAACUUGGGCUAAUACCGGAUACGUGCGAGAGCAGAAAGAUUUAUCGCUGAAGGAUCGGCCCGCGUCUGAUUAGCUGGUUGGUAGGGUAAUGGCCUACCAAGGCGACGAUCAGUAGCUGGUCUGAGAGGAUGAUCAGCCACAUUGGGACUGAGACACGGCCCAAACUCCUACGGGGGGCAGCAGUGGGGAAUAUUGGACAAUGGGCGCAAGCCUGAUCCAGCCAUGCCGCGUGAGUGAUGAAGGCCUUAGGGUUGUAAAGCUCUUUCAGUGGGGACGAUAAUGACGGUACCCGCAGAAGAAGCCCCGGCUAACUUCGUGCCAGCAGCCGCGGUAA
rnacentral:rRNA from 1 species